CCCAAUUGAUGAUUGUUGGAGAUGUGAUUCUGAAUGGGAAACUAACCGAAAAGUGCUGGCCGAUUGUGCAAUUGGGUUUGGACGCAACGCUGUAGGGGGGCAAGAUGGUGACAUUUAUGUGGUCAAAGAUUCUGAAAAUGAUGAUCCUGCAAACCCAAUUCCUGGCACACUUCGCUACGGUGUCAUCCAAGAAGAACCGCUGUGGAUCAUCUUUGAUCACGACAUGGUCAUCACGCUAAAGGAAGAACUGAUGAUGAACUCAUACAAAACAAUAGAUGGAAGAGGGUAUAACAUCCAGAUAGCAGAUGGACCAUGCGUAACAAUUCAAAACGUAAGUAACAUUAUCAUACAUAACAUCUACAUACGUGACUGUGUACCAGGUGGAAAUACAAUGGUUAGGGAUUCACCCAAGCAUGUUGGCAUGAGAGGUUACUCUGAUGGGGAUGGCAUAUCGAUAUUUGGGUCUAGGGAUGUCUGGAUUGAUCAUUGUACACUAGCCAACUGCCGUGAUGGACUAAUUGAUGCUGUAGUUGGCUCAACGUCUAUUACAAUCUCAAACAAUUACAUGUUGCAUCACAAUGAAGUUAUGCUUAUGGGUCAUAGUGAUGACUUCCUCGAUGACAAGAAUAUGCAAGUCACUAUAGCCUUCAACUUUUUUGGCGAAGGUCUGACACAAAGAAUGCCUAGGUGCAGGCAUGGCUAUUUUCACAUUGUAAAUAACAUAUACACUGGAUGGGAGAUGUAUGCAAUUGGUGGAAGUGCAAAUCCAACAAUUAAUAGCCAAGGGAAUAUCUUCAUUGCAUCAGAUAACAACUCUACAAAGGAGGAAAGUUUCUUUGGAACCAAUCAUAACUAAUAAUCACUGGCAUCCACUCAAUAACCUAGGAGCACCAAAAUAAAUAUAACAUUCCAAAUAUCAAAUUUAACACUUCUAGCAAUUGAUAACCAAAACUAUUCCUAGGAAAGCUGAUCUUAUCCAGCACAAUUAGGGAUGACGACAGUCUAUCACAGAUAAGGUGAAAGUACUAAAACAGAAUGCAUAAUGUCAAAUCAUUUGCACAUGUGAAUAACUAAUAAGCUAGGAAGUUCUUCAACAUAUUGGGUUGGGUCAAACUAGCACACACAAACUUUGACCAGCACCUGGUUAGACCAAUACCUCAUUUUCUUAACUGAGAGGAUACAAUCGGCUUCCUUUCUAAAGAUCUGCUCUCAUUCAGGUGACUAAACGGGAAGCCAUCCCAGGAGAUGAGGAGUGGAAAAAUUGGAAUUGGAGAUCAGAUGGAGAUGUGAUGCUCAACGGUGCUUUCUUUACACCUUCUGGUGAAACAGGUCCUCAAAGUUACAUAAAAGCAUCAAGCAUGGUAGCAAGACCAGCUUCAUUUUUAACAAAUACUUCUCCUUCUGCUGGAGCUCUCUAUUGUCAGAGAGGGAUACCAUGCUAAUGCUAGACACAGGCCAGCUAAAUAUCUGCCCUUUAUUCUUUUUCAUAGUUUUUGGUUAGUUAAAUUUUGAACUAAAGCUUCAAUUGCUUUCAAUCCCAUCACUGUCAAGUUCAGGUCUCACAGACAAUCAAGAUGUAAUGAUAAAUCAGUAAUGACUAGGAAUUUACACAAGCUUUUAUAAUCCCCUAUGUAAGAAAAAAAAAUUAUAGGGGCUGCUAUUCUUGACAAUUUAGUAAAAAAUCAUGGUUAGGUCAGGAAAGUAAAUUACAAAUCUGUGCUCAUUCUUCUAACAAAGGGGACAAAAUUAUUCCAGUUUUCAACAGCAAAAAUUUUAUCAUUCAAUCUGAAAUAAGUAAAUGACCUUACAGCCUCUGCCUGUGGAUGAUAGCAGUUCGCAAGUAUUUGCCUUAGUCCUUUCUGUAAGAAAAUUGCAUGCAAGGAUUAUGUUAGGAAAGAAAAAGAAACAGAACUCAGGGAACACAUGCAUACACUCACAAUCAUAAAUAUUUAUGUUCAUGAAAUCACAGAAAGUGGAAAGAAAAAGGAAAAAUUAAAAAAAAUUUAACAUCAACUUAAUAAAAGGAUAAAGCAAAACUAUUUUGAACUCAACUAAAUAAAAC
rnacentral:misc_RNA from 1 species